GGUAAAACCUAGAAUAUAAGGGCUCCAGAGAGAUUUAGGUCACGUGGUGGUGAAAAGUAACAUUUAGGACUGGGAAGAACCCUGAGCCCAAUCUCUGGGCUGACAUCUCACCCCGAUACAUGAGAAACUCCAUAGAGAGAGGAUCCUAGAGCUCACCAACAAGAUUAUUGAGCUGCUGACUGGAGAGGUUCAUAUAAGGUGUCAGGAUGUCGCUGUCUAUUUCUCCAUGGAGGAGUCUGAGUAUUUAGAAGGACACAAAGGUCUGUACAAGCAUGUCAUGAUGAAGGAUCACCAGCCCCUCAUAUUACCAGUUAAAGAAGACAGAACAAUACCGGAUAGAUGUCCCAGUCCUCUUCUUCAACAGGAUGAUUUAGAAGUACAUUACAGUGUCCCACAGGAUGAUCAGCUUUUCAGUCCUAUUAAAGAUCUGAACAUUAUUAAGGUUGAAGAGACAGAUAUGGACAAUUGUACAGAUAACCACCCAGCAUUAAGAUUUUACUGGAACUAAGGAGCCUAGACCAACCCCUGAAUACAACUCCAUAGCUUUAUCCCACCUCCACCAAACUUUACAGCUGACAAAAUGCAGUCGCACCGGUAACCUCCUCCUGGUGUUCACCAAACCCAGCCUCAUCCACCAGACUGCCACAUAGAAGUGUGAUUCAUCAAUCCACAGAACACAUUUCCACUGCUCCAAAGUUCAGAGAUGACCGUUCGGAAAGCUCAGCAGAACAUCUGAUAUCAUAUUUUAAAACAGAUGAAUGUAAUGUCACAGAAGAAGAGCAUGCCAUUAUCUCAGAUGUGUCCUCUGAUCCUUUGGAUAGCGUCAAAUCUCCAAAUUCAUCACAGACUGUUAAGAAAAAUAAAAGUCACAGAAGAAGUGUUCACCAUCAAAGAACUCACACAGGGGAGAAGUCUUUUUCAUGCUCAGAAUGUGGAAAAUGUUUUAACCGCAAAUCAGUUCUAGUUACACAUAAGAUAAUUCACACAGGGGAGAAGCCAUUUUCAUGUUCAGAAUGUGACAAAUGUUUUAAUCGCAAAUCAAUUCUUCUUAUACAUGAGAGAAUUCACACAGGGGCAAAGCCAUUUUCAUGCUCAAAAUGUGAAAAACGUUUUUACCGUAUGUCAGACCUUAUUGUCCAUGAGAAAAUUCACACAGGGGAGACACCGUUUCCAUGCUCAGAAUGUGGGAAAUGUUUCAGCUAUAAAGCACAUCUUGCUAAACAUCAGAUAAUGCACACAAUGGAGAAGCCAUUUUCAUGUUUAGACUGUGGGAAAUGUUUUAAACGUAAAUCACAUCUUGUUAUGCAUGAGAAAAUUCACACAGCGCAGAAGCCAUUUUUAUGUUCAGAAUGUGGGAAAAAUUUUCACUGUAAAUCACAUCUUGUUAGACAUGAGCAAAUUCACACAGGAGAGAAGCCAUUUUCAUGUUCAGAAUGUGGGAAAUGUUUUAACCGUAAAUCACAUCUGCUUAGCCACCAGAAAACUCACACAGGCUUGUAGGCAUUAUCAUGUUCAGAAUGUGGGAAACGUUACAGAGUUAAGUCAAGUUUUAUCACACAUCAGAGGAUUCACACAGGAAAAAUAUUUUCAUGUUCGAAAUAUAGAAAAUGUUUUAUCCAUGUAUCAUCUUAAGCAUUAAAGGGAGUCUGUUACCAGUAAAUUCACUGGUAAACCCAGUCUUGUAGGGCUAGCUCAGCUGAAUGUAAUGAUGCCUUUCACUUAUGGAUUUGUUGCUUCAGUUCACUUAACUGAUCAUUUUGCAAUAAGCAGUUAAGUGCGCUGAAGGAGGGCCUAAGCCACUCUGCGCACUCUUCCUCCUCCUGCUUCCUCUGCCCUCACAUUCCUUUCCUUGUUGACUGACAGAGCCAGAGGAAGAGAGAGAGGGGCUGGCAGAGAAAGCAGGAGAAGCAACAGUGCACAGAGUGUUAAUGCCCCCCCUUAGUGCACUGCUGAUGUGAAAAUAAACUAAAACUACUUCUCUAGAAUGAAGUAAUGGAUUGCUAAGUGAAAGGUAUCAUUAAACUCAGCUGAGCUAGCCCUACAAGGCAUUGUACCUGGUUUACCAGUAAAUUUCCUGGUAACAACAGUUACAGUCAAAGUAAAGAUGAAAAAAAGAUUCAAAUUCCUCAGUGGUUGAUACAAUACCUUUUAAUGGCUAACUGAAAAGAUGAUGGCAAAAUGGCACGCUUUCGAGGCUACUUUAGCCUCUUCAUCAGGCGUCUCUUAAGACAAUAUAUGAAGGUUCAGGUUCACAUACUUAUACACCAAAGUACAUAAUGAGGUAGAUGAGACAAGUGAUGUAAAGCAAAUUAAUAUGAAUGGCGGAGUAAAAAAAAAUGUUGUAACAGUA